rnacentral:rRNA from 1 species
GACGAACGCUGGCGGCGUGCCUAAUACAUGCAAGUAGAACGCUGAAGGAGGAGCUUGCUUCUCUGGAUGAGUUGCGAACGGGUGAGUAACGCGUAGGUAACCUGCCUGGUAGCGGGGGAUAACUAUUGGAAACGAUAGCUAAUACCGCAUAACAGUAGAUAUCGCAUGAUAUCUACUUGAAAGGUGCAAUUGCAUCACUACCAGAUGGACCUGCGUUGUAUUAGCUAGUUGGUGAGGUAACGGCUCACCAAGGCGACGAUACAUAGCCGACCUGAGAGGGUGAUCGGCCACACUGGGACUGAGACACGGCCCAGACGCCUGCGGGAGGCAGCAGUAGGGAAUCUUCGGCAAUGGACGGAAGUCUGACCGAGCAACGCCGCGUGAGUGAAGAAGGUUGUCGGAUCGUAAAGCUCUGUUGUAAGAGAAGAACGAGUGUGAGAGUGGAAAGUUCACACUGUGACGGUAUCUUACCAGAAAGGGACGGCUAACUACGUG